GGGCCUUUAGCUCAAUAGUAGAGUGUUCGCUUGACAUGCGAAAGGUAGUAGGAGCGUAACCUACAAGGCCCACCA
rnacentral:tRNA from 3 species